rnacentral:rRNA from 1 species
UACCUCAGUAACGGCGAGUGAAGCGGUAACAGCUCAAAUUUGAAAUCUAGCGCUUUCAGCGUUCGAGUUGUAAUUUGUAGAAGAUGCUUUGGGUGUGGCUCCGGUCUAAGUUCCUUGGAACAGGACGUCAUAGAGGGUGAGAAUCCCGUAUGUGACUGGCUGCCUUCGCCUAUGUAAAGCUCUUUCGACGAGUCGAGUUGUUUGGGAAUGCAGCUCUAAAUGGGAGGUAUAUUUCUUCUAAAGCUAAAUAUUGGCCAGAGACCGAUAGCGCACAAGUAGAGUGAUCGAAAGAUGAAAAGCACUUUGGAAAGAGAGUUAAACAGUACGUGAAAUUGUUGAAAGGGAAGCGCUUGCAACCAGACUUGCCUGCCGUUGAUCAUCCUCCCUUCUGGGUGGUGCACUCAGCGGUGGUCAGGCCAGCAUCGGUUUUGGUGGUGGGAUAAAGGCCUUGGGAACGUAGCUCCUCUCGGGGAGUGUUAUAGCCCUCGGUGCAAUGCCGCCUACCGGGACCGAGGACCGCGCUUCGGCUAGGAUGCUGGCGUAAUGGUUGUAAGCGACCCGUCUUGAAACACGGACCAAGGAGUCUAACAUCUAUGCGAGUGUUUGGGUGUUAAACCCAUACGCGUAAUUAACGUGAACGGAGGUGAGAACCCUUUAGGGUGCAUCAUCGACCGAUCCUGAUGUCUUCGGAUGGAUUUGAGUAAGAGCAUAGCUGUUGGGACCCGAAAGAUGGUGAACUAUGCCUAAAUAGGGUGAAGCCAGAGGAAACUCUGGUGGAGGCUCGCAGCGGUUCUGACGUGCAAAUCGAUCGUCAAAUUUGGGUAUAGGGGCGAAAGACUAAUCGAACCAUUAACUACUAGGUGGUUAAGACUUAUACAGAAGUGUGUAAGUAGUCCGUAGCGGGCAACACUGUCAAAUUGCGGGGACCUCCUGUCACAGUACUACUACCGCAGCCAUGGCGAAAGCUAUAGUGCGCACCAGGUUAAUGGCCUUGGGGAUGGUAAUAACGUAGUACUAGGGACAACCUGCAGCCAAACCCUAACCACGGGUGCAGUUCACAGACUAAAUGUCAGUGGGGUAUGCUUACAGCAUACUUUAAGUUAUAGUCGAUCCUCUGUAGUAAUACA